rnacentral:rRNA from 1 species
UACGGAGGGUGCAAGCAUUAAUCGGAAUUACUGGGCGUAAAGCGUGCGCAGGCGGUUUGUUAAGUCUGCUAUGAAAUCCCCGAGCUCAACUUGGGAAUUGCAGUGGAUACUGGCAAGCUGGAGUACGGUAGAGGAAGGUGGAAUUCCCGGUGUAGCAGUGAAAUGCGUAGAGAUCGGGAGGAACACCAGUGGCGAAGGCGGGCCUUC